rnacentral:rRNA from 1 species
GAUGAACGCUGGCGGCGUGCCUAACACAUGCAAGUCGAGCGGUAUACAUUGGAAUGAUAUUUCGAUUGAGUGAAGAUGUAGAGAGCGGCGGACGGGUGAGUAACGCGUAGGCAACCUGCCCCAUACACAGGGAUAGCCUCGGGAAACCGCGAUUAAAACCUGAUAAUGCGAAAGAUUCACAUGUUUCUUUCGCCAAAGAUUUAUCGGUAUGGGAUGGGCCUGCGUCUGAUUAGCUAGUUGGUGAGGUAACGGCCUACCAAGGCGAUGAUCAGUAGCCGACCUGAGAGGGUAAUCGGCCACAUUGGGACUGAGACACGGCCCAAACUCCUACGGGAGGCAGCAGUGGGGAAUAUUGCACAAUGGGGGAAACCCUGAUGCAGCGACGCCGCGUGAGCGAUGAAGUAUUUCGGUAUGUAAAGCUCUAUCAGCAGGGAAGAAAAUGACGGUACCUGACUAAGAAGCACCGGCUAAAUACGUGCCAGCCGCCGCAGUAAUAC